rnacentral:rRNA from 1 species
GCAAGUCGAACGGCAACAGCAGAGCUUGUCUGGCUGGCGAGUGGCGGACGGGUGAGUAACGCGUGGGAAUCUACCUAGUAGCGGGGGAUAACAUGGAGAAAUCCAUGCUAAUACCGCAUACGCCCUACGGGGGAAAGGAGGGGAUCUUCGGACCUUCCACUAUUAGAUGAGACUGCGUCGGAUUAGCUUGUUGGUGAGGUAAUGGCUCACCAAGGCGACGAUACGUAGCUGGUCUGAGAGGAUGAUC